CCUACGUGCGGCAGCAGUGAGGAAUAUUGGUCAAUGGGCUUACGCCUGAACCAGCCAAGUCGCGUGAGGGAAGACUGCCCUAUGGGUUGUAAACCUCUUUUGUCAGGGAGCAACGCCGGCUACGUGUAGCCGGACUGAGAGUACCUGAAGAAAAAGCAUCGGCUAACUCCGUGCCAGCAGCCGCGGUACUACGGAGGAUGCGAGCGUUAUCCGGAUUUAUUGGGUUUAAAGGGUGCGUAGGCGGAAUGCCAAGUCAGCGGUAAAAUCGCGGGGCUCAACCUCGCUCCGCCGUUGAAACUGGCGUUCUUGAGUGGGCGAUAAGUAUGCGGAAUGCGUGGUGUAGCGGUGAAAUGCAUAGAUAGCACGCAGAACUGCGAUUGCGAAGGCAGCAUACCGGCGCCCAACUGACGCUGAAGCACGAAAGCGUGGGUAUCGAACAGGAUUAGAUACCCCUGUAGUC
rnacentral:rRNA from 1 species